rnacentral:miRNA from 1 species
GUUGAACCUUAACAUAAUAU